UACAGAGGGUGCGAGCGUUGUCCGGAAUCAUUGGGCGUAAAGAGCGUGUAGGCGGCCCGAUAAGUCCGCUGUGAAAGUCCAGGGCUCAACCCUGGGAUGCCGGUGGAUACUGUCGGGCUCGAGUCCGGAAGAGGAGUGUGGAAUUCCUGGUGUAGCGGUGAAAUGCGCAGAUAUCAGGAGGAACACCAAUGGCGAAGGCAGCACUCUGGGACGUGACUGACGCUGAGACGCGAAAGCGUGGGGAGCGAACAGG
rnacentral:rRNA from 1 species